CCCAAUCCCAAUAUAAAAAUAUACAAGUCCAACCAAAUUAUUGAUAUGGUAUCCAACUAUCCAUCUAAUAGCAUCUACCCAAGCAAAAAAAAAAUUACUUCUACUCAUCUUCUUUCAGCUACUCAAAAGUCAAAACCCUAUCCAUUUGUGGUUCACUUGAAACUCAAAACUCAAAGUAAUCAAAUCCAUCGGGAACGGAUUCCUCAUCAAACUCGGAGACGGUACCUGAAGUCCUGAAUUGGUCUUUCUAGCAAUGCAUUCUUAAUCUUUGCCACUACAGUGAGAGGAGACCAGAUCAGCAAACCAAUUGCUCUCUACUUGUCAUCUACUCAUCUUCGGCUAGGGGUUUACUUGCUCACUUCUAACUUGUCAGCUUCAACUUGUUGUCUUCCAUCUUCAGCUAGGGUUCUUAAGUUUGAUCAUGCCGCCUAAAUGGCAAUCACUAGUUUGGGAUCACUACGAAAUGGUGGAGGAAAUUUAAGGAGUGCGCAUGAUGAAAUGUAUCCAUUGUGGUCGAAUUUACCGUUGUCACUUGAGGUGAAAUGGGACUGAAGGCCUAUGGAGACAUGUUUAGAGAUGUCUUGAAAAAUAACAAGCAAUGCCACUGACGCUACAAGUUAAUUUUGAAGUUUAGAAUUUAGACUAUGCAGUUAUAACUUAUGAUAUUGUUGUUUAAUUAUGCACUUGGUGUUGAUGACUGUUGCUUGCUGCUUUAAUUCGAAACUUUAGACUGUUCUAACUUUAAAUGGUGUGUGAUUUGUGACUGCU